rnacentral:rRNA from 1 species
GAUCUGGCUCAGAUUGAACGCUGGCGGCAGGCCUAACACAUGCAAGUCGAACGGUAACAGGAAGAAGCUUGCUUCUUUGCUGACGAGUGGCGGACGGGUGAGUAAUGUCUGGGAAACUGCCUGAUGGAGGGGGAUAACUACUGGAAACGGUAGCUAAUACCGCAUAACGUCGCAAGACCAAAGAGGGGGGACCUUCGGGCCUCUUGCCAUCGGAUGUGCCCAGAUGGGAUUAGCUAGUAGGUGGGGUAACGG